rnacentral:rRNA from 1 species
UACGAAGGGUGCAAGCGUUAAUCGGAAUUACUGGGCGUAAAGGGUGCGUAGGCGGUUGUUUAAGUCUGUCGUGAAAUCCCCGGGCUCAACCUGGGAAUGGCGAUGGAUACUGGGCAGCUAGAGUGUGUCAGAGGAUGGUGGAAUUCCCGGUGUAGCGGUGAAAUGCGUAGAUAUCUGGAGGAACACCGGUGGCGAAGGCGACGUCCUGGACCGGCAUUGACGCUGAGGCGCGAAAGCCAGGGGAGCAAACGGG